rnacentral:ncRNA from 1 species
GCCGCAGAGACCAGCGAGAAGCGACUGUUUACUAAAAACACAGGUCCGUGCGAAGCCGUAAGGCGAUGUAUACGGACUGACGCCUGCCCGGUGCUGGAACGUUAAGGGGACCGGUUAGCUCCAUUUCGGUGGGGCGAAGCUGAGAACUUAAGCGCCAGUAAACGGCGGUGGUAACUAUAACCAUCCUAAGGUAGCGAAAUUCCUUGUCGGGUAAGUUCCGACCUGCACGAAUGGCGUAACGACUUCUCGACUGUCUCAACCAUAGGCCCGGUGAAAUUGCACUACGAGUAAAGAUGCUCGUUUCGCGCAGCAGGACGGAAAGACCCCGGGACCUUUACUACAGUUUGAUAUUGGUGUUCGGUUCGGCUUGUGUAGGAUAGCUGGGAGACUGUGAAGCGCUAACGCCAGUUAGUGUGGAGUCGUCGUUGAAAUACCAGUCUGGUCGUGCUGGAUGUCUAACCUGGGUCCGUGAUCCGGAUCAGGGACAGUGUCUGAUGGGUAGUUUAACUGGGGCGGUUGCCUCCUAAAGAGUAACGGAGGCGCCCAAAGGUUCCCUCAGCCUGGUUGGCAAUCAGGUGUUGAGUGUAAGUGCACAAGGGAGCUUGACUGUGAGACCGACGGGUCGAGCAGGGACGAAAGUCGGGACUAGUGAUCCGGCGGUGGCUUGUGGAAGCGCCGUCGCUCAACGGAUAAAAGGUACCCCGGGGAUAACAGGCUGAUCUUCCCCAAGAGUCCAUAUCGACGGGAUGGUUUGGCACCUCGAUGUCGGCUCGUCGCAUCCUGGGGCUGGAGUCGGUCCCAAGGGUUGGGCUGUUCGCCCAUUAAAGCGGUACGCGAGCUGGGUUUAGAACGUCGUGAGACAGUUCGGUCCCUAUCCGCUGUGCGCGUAGGAGUCUUGAGAAGGGCUGUCCCUAGUACGAGAGGACCGGGACGGACGAACCUCUGGUGUGCCAGUUGUUCUGCCAAGGGCAUGGCUGGUUGGCUACGUUCGGGAGGGAUAACCGCUGAAAGCAUCUAAGCGGGAAGCCUGCUUCGAGAUGAGGACUCCCACCUCCUAGAGAGGGUAAGGCUCCCAGUAGACGACUGGGUUGAUAGGCCGGAUAUGGAAGCACGGUAACGUGUGGAGUUGACCGGUACUAAUAGGCCGAGGGCUUGUCCUC